CCUACGGGAGGCAGCAGUGAGGAAUAUUGGUCAAUGGACGAGAGUCUGAACCAGCCAAGUAGCGUGAAGGAUGACUGCCCUAUGGGUUGUAAACUUCUUUUAUAAAGGAAUAAAACGAGGCGCGUGUGCCUUUUUGCAUGUACUUUAUGAAUAAGGAUCGGCUAACUCCGUGCCAGCAGCCGCGGUAAUACGGAGGAUGCGAGCGUUAUCCGGAUUUAUUGGGUUUAAAGGGAGCGUAGGUGGGUUGUUAAGUCAGUUGUGAAAGUCUGCGGCUCAACCCUAAGAGUGCAAUUGAUACUGGCAGGCUUGAGUGCAGGUGAGGUAAGCGGAAUUCGUAGUGUAGCGGUGAAAUGCGUAGAUAUUAGGAAGAACACCAGUGGCGGAGGCAGCUUACUAGACUGUGACUGACACUGAUGCUCGAAAGUGUGGGGAGCAAACAGGAUUAGAUACCCUAGUAGUC
rnacentral:rRNA from 1 species